AUUGAACGCUGGCGGCAGGCCUAACACAUGCAAGUCGAGCGGAGCGGCGGACGGGUGAGUAAUGCCUAGGAAUGUGCCUGGUAGUGGGGGAUAACGUCAGGAAACGGGAGCUAAUACCGCAAACUAUAAGAUGAGCCUAGGUGGGAUUAGCUAGUUGGUGGGGUAAAGGACUACCAAGGCGACGAUCCGUAACGGGUCUGAGAGGAUGAGCAGUCACACUGGAACUGAGACACGGUCCAGACUCCUACGGGAGGCAGCAGUGGGGAAUAUUGGACAAUGGGCGCAAGCCUGAUCCAGCCAUGCCGCGUGUGUGAAGAAGGUCUUCGGAUUGUAAAGCACUGUAAGUUGGGAGGCGUUACCAACAGAAUAAGCACCGGCUAACUUCGUGCCAGCAGCCGCGGUAAUAC
rnacentral:rRNA from 1 species